UACGGGGGGGGCAAGCGUUGUUCGGAAUUACUGGGCGUAAAGGGCUCGUAGGCGGCCAACUAAGUCAGACGUGAAAUCCCUCGGCUUAACCGGGGAACUGCGUCUGAUACUGGAUGGCUUGAGAUUGGGAGAGGGAUGCGGAAUUCCAGGUGUAGCGGUGAAAUGCGAAGAUAUCUGGAGGAACACCGGUGGCGAAGGCGGCAUCCUGGACCAACACUGACGCUGAGGAGCGAAAGCCAGGGGAGCAAACGGG
rnacentral:rRNA from 1 species